GGUGACGUUCCCGGCUGUGGGGUCUGAUGACCCGGGCCAGGCAAAGGACCCGCCCGAGCGGUAUAGGCCUGAGCCUCUGGGCACUGCGGCCGCGUCCGGCAGGGCUGCCACGGCAGUACAGGGCCUGCACAUCCGGGAGCUCACGCCCUCCUGCGCGUAGCCCGCUAGUGAGGUUCCGAAGGGCGGGGCCGGGCCGAACCGGAUAUGCCGGUUCUGGGGCUCAGGUGACAAACCCAGGCCUUCCGCCCCUCGCCUCUGGUGGGGAUCCGGCCCAACCCGGAGCUUCCUAGACUUGCUUCCAGGUGUCGAAGCCUCGAGUCCUCAAGAGGUCCAGCAAAAAGGCAAAGGACGCAGGAGGCUGUUCGGUAUUUCCAGUAAACUUACCCUAAGAAGCC
ensembl:lncRNA AFF4-DT AFF4 divergent transcript